rnacentral:rRNA from 1 species
GAUGAACGCUGGCGGCGUGCUUAACACAUGCAAGUCGAACGAAGCACUUUAUUUGAUUUCCUUCGGGACUGAUUAUUUUGUGACUGAGUGGCGGACGGGUGAGUAACGCGUGGGUAACCUGCCUUGUACAGGGGGAUAACAGUUGGAAACGGCUGCUAAUACCGCAUAAGCGCACAGCAUCGCAUGAUGCAGUGUGAAAAACUCCGGUGGGAUAAGAUGGACCCGCGUUGGAUUAGCUAGUUGGUGAGGUAACGGCCCACCAAGGCAACGAUCCAUAGCCGACCUGAGAGGGUGACCGGCCACAUUGGGACUGAGACACGGCCCAAACUCCUACGGGAGGCAGCAGUGGGGAAUAUUGCACAAUGGGCGAAAGCCUGAUGCAGCGACGCCGCGUGAGCGAAGAAGUAUUUCGGUAUGUAAAGCUCUAUCAGCAGGGAAGAUAAUGACGGUACCUGACUAAGAAGCACCGGCUAAAUACGUGCCAGCCGCCGCGGUAA